UACGUAGGGUGCGAGCGUUACUCGGAAUUACUGGGCGUAAAGCGUGCGUAGACGGUUAUGUAAGUCGGGUGUGAAAGUCCCGGGCUCAACCUGGGAAUUGCAUUCGAGACUGCAUAGCUAGGGUGCGGAAGAGGGAAGCGGAAUUUCCGGUGUAGCGGUGAAAUGCGUAGAUAUCGGAAGGAACACCAGUGGCGAAAGCGGCUUCCUGGUCCAGCACCGACGUUCAGGCACGAAAGCGUGGGGAGCAAACAGG
rnacentral:rRNA from 1 species